rnacentral:rRNA from 1 species
GGCGAACGCUGGCGGCGUGCUUAACACAUGCAAGUCGAGCGGUAAGGCCCUUUCGGGGUACGACGAGCGGCGAACGGGUGAGUAACACGUGGGUGACCUGCCCUCAGUUCUGGGAUAAGCCUGGGAAACCGGGUCUAAUACUGGAUAUGACCUCAUGACGCAUGUUGUGGGGUGGAAAGCCUUGUGCGACUGAGGAUGGGCCCGCGGCCUAUCAGCUUGUUGGUGGGGUGAUGGCCUACCAAGGCGACGACGGGUAGCCGGCCUGAGAGGGCGACCGGCCACACUGGGACUGAGACACGGCCCAGACUCCUACGGGAGGCAGCAGUGGGGAAUCUUGCGCAAUGGGCGAAAGCCUGACGCAGCGACGCCGCGUGAGGGAUGACGGCCUGUGU